CGCGUAGGCGGGCCAUCAAGUCGAAUGUGAAAACUAGCGGCUUAACCGCUGGCCUGCAUCCGAUACUGGUGGUCUUGAGUACAGGAGAGGAGAGUGGAAUUCCAGGUGUAGCGGUGAAAUGCGUAGAUAUCUGGAAGAACACCCGUAGCGAAGGCGACUCUCUGGCCUGAUACUGACGCUGAAGCGCGAAGGCUUGGGUAGCAAACA
rnacentral:rRNA from 1 species